rnacentral:rRNA from 1 species
UGGGGAAUAUUGCACAAUGGGCGCAAGCCUGAUGCAGCGACGCCGCGUGAGGGAUGGAGGCCUUCGGGUUGUAAACCUCUUUCGCCAGUGAAGCAGGCCAUCUUCUUUGUGGGGUGGUUGACGGUAGCUGGAUAAGAAGCGCCGGCUAACUACGUGCCAGCAGCCGCGGUAAUACGUAGGGCGCGAGCGUUGUCCGGAAUUAUUGGGCGUAAAGAGCUCGUAGGCGGCUGGUCGCGUCUGUCGUGAAAUUCCCUGGCUUAACUGGGGGCUUGCGGUGGGUACGGGCCGGCUUGAGUGCGGUAGGGGAGACUGGAAUUCCUGGUGUAGCGGUGGAAUGCGCAGAUAUCAGGAGGAACACCGGUGGCGAAGGCGGGUCUCUGGGCCGUUACUGACGCUGAGGAGCGAAAGCGUGGGGAGCGAACAGG